GCGUCUUUGGGGUUGUUGGGGCCUGCUCCCGGUUUGUGUCCGGGGGAGGGCGGUUCGACCCACAGGUUGCG
rnacentral:tRNA from 1 species